GGGUUGUGAGGUUAAGCGACUAAGCGUACACGGUGGAUGCCCUGGCAGUCAGAGGCGAUGAAGGACGUGCUAAUCUGCGAUAAGCGUCGGUAAGGUGAUAUGAACCGUUAUAACCGGCGAUUUCCGAAUGGGGAAACCCAGUGUGAUUCGUCACACUAUCAUUAACUGAAUCCAUAGGUUAAUGAGGCGAACCGGGGGAACUGAAACAUCUAAGUACCCCGAGGAAAAGAAAUCAACCGAGAUUCCCCCAGUAGCGGCGAGCGAACGGGGAGGAGCCCAGAGCCUGAAUCAGUGUGUGUGUUAGUGGAAGCGUCUGGAAAGGCGCGCGAUACAGGGUGACAGCCCCGUACACAAAAAUGCACAUGCUGUGAGCUCGAUGAGUAGGGCGGGACACGUGGUAUCCUGUCUGAAUAUGGGGGGACCAUCCUCCAAGGCUAAAUACUCCUGACUGACCGAUAGUGAACCAGUACCGUGAGGGAAAGGCGAAAAGAACCCCGGCGAGGGGAGUGAAAAAGAACCUGAAACCGUGUACGUACAAGCAGUGGGAGCACAGAGCAAUCUGUGUGACUGCGUACCUUUUGUAUAAUGGGUCAGCGACUUAUAUUCUGUAGCAAGGUUAACCGAAUAGGGGAGCCGAAGGGAAACCGAGUCUUAACCGGGCGUUAAGUUGCAGGGUAUAGACCCGAAACCCGGUGAUCUAGCCAUGGGCAGGUUGAAGGUUGGGUAACACUAACUGGAGGACCGAACCGACUAAUGUUGAAAAAUUAGCGGAUGACUUGUGGCUGGGGGUGAAAGGCCAAUCAAACCGGGAGAUAGCUGGUUCUCCCCGAAAGCUAUUUAGGUAGCGCCUCGUGAAUUCAUCUCCGGGGGUAGAGCACUGUUUCGGCAAGGGGGUCAUCCCGACUUACCAACCCGAUGCAAACUGCGAAUACCGGAGAAUGUUAUCACGGGAGACACACGGCGGGUGCUAACGUCCGUCGUGAAGAGGGAAACAACCCAGACCGCCAGCUAAGGUCCCAAAGUCAUGGUUAAGUGGGAAACGAUGUGGGAAGGCCCAGACAGCCAGGAUGUUGGCUUAGAAGCAGCCAUCAUUUAAAGAAAGCGUAAUAGCUCACUGGUCGAGUCGGCCUGCGCGGAAGAUGUAACGGGGCUAAACCAUGCACCGAAGCUGCGGCAGCGACACUGUGUGUUGUUGGGUAGGGGAGCGUUCUGUAAGCCUGUGAAGGUGUACUGUGAGGUAUGCUGGAGGUAUCAGAAGUGCGAAUGCUGACAUAAGUAACGAUAAAGCGGGUGAAAAGCCCGCUCGCCGGAAGACCAAGGGUUCCUGUCCAACGUUAAUCGGGGCAGGGUGAGUCGACCCCUAAGGCGAGGCCGAAAGGCGUAGUCGAUGGGAAACAGGUUAAUAUUCCUGUACUUGGUGUUACUGCGAAGGGGGGACGGAGAAGGCUAUGUUGGCCGGGCGACGGUUGUCCCGGUUUAAGCGUGUAGGCUGGUUUUCCAGGCAAAUCCGGAAAAUCAAGGCUGAGGCGUGAUGACGAGGCACUACGGUGCUGAAGCAACAAAUGCCCUGCUUCCAGGAAAAGCCUCUAAGCAUCAGGUAACAUCAAAUCGUACCCCAAACCGACACAGGUGGUCAGGUAGAGAAUACCAAGGCGCUUGAGAGAACUCGGGUGAAGGAACUAGGCAAAAUGGUGCCGUAACUUCGGGAGAAGGCACGCUGAUAUGUAGGUGAAGUCCCUCGCGGAUGGAGCUGAAAUCAGUCGAAGAUACCAGCUGGCUGCAACUGUUUAUUAAAAACACAGCACUGUGCAAACACGAAAGUGGACGUAUACGGUGUGACGCCUGCCCGGUGCCGGAAGGUUAAUUGAUGGGGUCAGCGCAAGCGAAGCUCUUGAUCGAAGCCCCGGUAAACGGCGGCCGUAACUAUAACGGUCCUAAGGUAGCGAAAUUCCUUGUCGGGUAAGUUCCGACCUGCACGAAUGGCGUAAUGAUGGCCAGGCUGUCUCCACCCGAGACUCAGUGAAAUUGAACUCGCUGUGAAGAUGCAGUGUACCCGCGGCAAGACGGAAAGACCCCGUGAACCUUUACUAUAGCUUGACACUGAACAUUGAGCCUUGAUGUGUAGGAUAGGUGGGAGGCUUUGAAGUGUGGACGCCAGUCUGCAUGGAGCCGACCUUGAAAUACCACCCUUUAAUGUUUGAUGUUCUAACGUGGACCCGUGAUCCGGGUUGCGGACAGUGUCUGGUGGGUAGUUUGACUGGGGCGGUCUCCUCCUAAAGAGUAACGGAGGAGCACGAAGGUUGGCUAAUCCUGGUCGGACAUCAGGAGGUUAGUGCAAUGGCAUAAGCCAGCUUGACUGCGAGCGUGACGGCGCGAGCAGGUGCGAAAGCAGGUCAUAGUGAUCCGGUGGUUCUGAAUGGAAGGGCCAUCGCUCAACGGAUAAAAGGUACUCCGGGGAUAACAGGCUGAUACCGCCCAAGAGUUCAUAUCGACGGCGGUGUUUGGCACCUCGAUGUCGGCUCAUCACAUCCUGGGGCUGAAGUAGGUCCCAAGGGUAUGGCUGUUCGCCAUUUAAAGUGGUACGCGAGCUGGGUUUAGAACGUCGUGAGACAGUUCGGUCCCUAUCUGCCGUGGGCGCUGGAGAACUGAGGGGGGCUGCUCCUAGUACGAGAGGACCGGAGUGGACGCAUCACUGGUGUUCGGGUUGUCAUGCCAAUGGCACUGCCCGGUAGCUAAAUGCGGAAGAGAUAAGUGCUGAAAGCAUCUAAGCACGAAACUUGCCCCGAGAUGAGUUCUCCCUGACCCUUUAAGGGUCCUGAAGGAACGUUGAAGAUGACGACGUUGAUAGGCCGGGUGUGUAAGCGCAGCGAUGCGUUGAGCUAACCGGUACUAAUGAACCGUGAGGCUUAACCUUACAACGCCGAAGGUGUUU
rnacentral:rRNA from 1 species